GGGCGUGUAGCUCAGUGGUAGAGCUCUGGUUUUUACACCCAGCGGUCGGGGGUUCGAAAACCCUCCGCGCCCA
rnacentral:tRNA from 1 species